AAACGUUUCCAAAACAGAAUAGCGAGUUUCCAAAAUAGAAACGCAAGUUUCCAUUAAGUUUCCAAACUGAAAUUUUUAAGAAACGAGUUUCUAAUGCAUUUCCGCAAGUUUCCGAGAGAUUCCAAUUCCAAAACGUUUCCGAAACAUGAAACGGACAUUCAACGGAGUUUCCAUGCAACAUAGGAGUUAGCCAUCAAAAAAUGUACUUAGAAAUAUUGUCAUACUAGUUAUCUAAAAUCCUUGUUUGUUUUGGAUCUUUAAUGAAAAACAUAUGGUAUUUUAUUAUUUAUUUGUGUUUUAUUAAAGUGUAAACUCCAAACCCCAAAGACUAAAAGUCUAAUCUCUUAAAAUUUUAUCCUCAAAUUUCAUUAUAAAUCUCAAACCCUAAAAGAAUGAUAUAUAUAUACACAAUUAUAGGGUUUAAACCCCUAAACAUAAAUUUAAAAACUUUAAUCUUAAACUUAAACACAAAAUUUAAUAAUUUAUAAAUUUAAUCUCAAAUUUCUAUUUUAAACCUCAAACACUAAAUUUUAAAUCUAUACCCUAAAUCUGAUACUUUAAACCCCAAACUUAAACCCUACAUACUAAGUCAUAAAUCUAAUCUUUUCAAACUUAUAAUUUAAUUUUUAAACUUAAACUCCAAGUCUAUUCUAAAACUCAAACCAUAUACACAACUCUAAAUCUAAACCCAAAAAACUAUGUUUCAAACCCUAAACUCACUUAAUUUUAUUAUUAUUACAUCAUUACUUUUACUUAAUUUAAAAUUUAUCUACAAAGUGAAAACUAAUAAUGUUAUUAAUCUUAUAUCAUUAUUUUUAUAAAUUUAAAUGUAUAACUUAAUUUCUUAAUGAAAUAAAAGUUUUAGUUAAUCUUCUAGAUAUUGAACCAUUCAACAUUUUACACCAUUUAUCUUUAAACUUAAAUCUAAAUUUUAACACUAUUCAUCUUAACCCUCAAUACUAUUUUCAAACAUUUAAUAUCAUAUAUACAUAAAUUUUCCAUAUACAUAAUAUAAAUUUCAAACUUUCAAUAAUUUUAUAAUAAUUAUACAUACAAAAAAGACAAUUUUAUUCUGUUUUUCGUUUGAGCCAUUGAUUGAUUCAGAAUCAAAGGCCCAAAAUCAAUCUUUUAUUUAUCUUCACCCUUUUUUUCUAUUGGUUUGGCAUGGAUCACCAUUUUGCACCCUUGGAUGAUAAUGAAUCAACGACUGAGAUUAAUUGUUCAUUAAUUUUUUAAAAAUUAUUUUUCGAGAUUUGAGUAGAUCUCGUGUUUGAGAGAGAGAGAGAAAGUAAGCGAUGCAUAUCGACUCCUUCUCGAAAGUAAAGAUCUCAUCUUCUCUAUGAUGAUUAUGGAUCGACUCCUUCUCGAAAAUUUUCUUCUUUCUCUCAUCACUGAAACUGAACCAGAGCGCGAGGCUCAUGCAGAGGCUUGAGCAUCGUCCGUUCGUCGUCCGGUGUGAAGCUUCUUCCAACGGAAGGGAAGAAGCCGGAUAUGAAGAAGAUGUGCUGGUGUAGAUGAGCCGAGCAAGAAGAAGAAAAAGAGAAAGAGGGAGAAGACAGAGACGUAAGGAGGGAAGACGAAGAAGAUGGAAGAGGAAGGCGACAACAAAGUGGCGUAGAUUAGGUUUAGUAUUGGUUGGUUUAUUAGGUUUGGUGUAGACAGGGUUAGUUUAAUAAACCGGGUUUGUGUGUAAACCAAUGUUACGAAAUAAACUUAUUAUUAAUUGUAAGCCAAUUAUUGUAUACUGAUCUUGAUUAAUAAAUAAAAUUUAAUUUUUAAUUAUGAAUUAAUUUUCGAUUUAAUUUUGAAUUAUUUAAUUACGAAUUAUGUUUAGGUAUAGUUUUUUAUUUUUUAUUUUAAUUUGGUUUGGGUUCAUAAUUAUUUUUAAUAAAUUUUUGGAUAAUUAAAAACAAAUUAAUAACACGAAACAUUUGCUAUUGUUGUUUAUUAAACUAUAGCAUUCGAAAAAUCCGCUAUCAAAAGUGUUGGACCUAUUAUAACGGACGCUGUCAAAGCGGACAAAGAAGCGCUAUUAUUCAUGACUCAUAGCGUUUUUCGUCCGCUAUUACUACCCUUAUUUCCUGUAGUGCUUUCUAACUCUUAAGUUAUGCUAUGCCAUUGAUAAAGACAGUAAAAAGAAAACCAAAACACCAAUUCCACUUGAUAGUAUAAAAGCUUAAAACCAAAAAAAAACAAUUCAAAAGUACUAAAAUC